GUCCUUUUGAAUAUAAUUUAAGGUCUAGCCUGCCCAAUGAUGAAAAUUUAAUGGCCGCAGUAUACUGACUGUGCAAAGGUAGCAUAAUCAUUAGUUUUUUAAUUGAAAGCUUGUAUGAAAGGUUUGAUGAAAAAAGAAUUGUCUCUAAAUAAAAUUUUUGAAUUUUAUUUUUAAGUUAAAAAGCUUAAAUUAGUAUUGAAGACGAGAAGACCCUAUAGAGUUUUAUUUAUGUAAUAAUAAAUUAAGUUUUAGGAUUUUAAAUUUGUAUUAUUAAGUAAAUUUAGUUGGGGCGAUUGAAAAAUUUACUAAACUUUUUUUUUAUUUAAACAUUUAUUUAUGAAUUUUUGAUCCUUUAUAAGAUUAUAAGAUAAAAUUACCUUAGGGAUAACAGCGUAAUUUUUUUUAGAGUUCUUAUCGAAAAAAAAGAUUGCGACCUCGAUGUUGGAUUAAAUUAAAUUUUUGGUGUAGAAGCUAAAAAAUUAGGUCUGUUCGACCUUUAAAUUUUUACAUGAUCUGAGUUUAAACCGGUGUAA
rnacentral:rRNA from 1 species